rnacentral:rRNA from 1 species
GAGUAACGCGUAGGAACAUACCCCAAACUGAGGGAUAACUGCUCGAAAGAGUAGCUAAUACCGCAUGUGGUCUUCGGACUAAAGCUUCGGCGGUUUGGGAAUGGCCUGCGUUCGAUUAGCUAGUUGGUGAGGUAAUUGCUCACCAAGGCGACGAUCGAUAGCUGGUCUGAGAGGAUGAUCAGCCUGACUGGAACUGAGACACGGUCCAGACUCCUACGGGAGGCAGCAGUAGGGAAUUUUCCACAAUGGGCGAAAGCCUGAUGGAGCAAUACCGCGUGCAGGAUGAAGGCCUUCGGGUCGUAAACUGCUUUUAUGUGAGAAGAAUUUGACGGUAACACAUGAAUAAGGGUCGGCUAACUACGUG